UUGUUCCAUUGACUGUAUGUAUGUAUUUAGCAAGUAAGUAAAUACAUUUCAUGGAAUUAAGAGGACUCAUCAUUCGUAUUCAAGUCUUGAAUUUCUUGUUGUCUGUCACUUGCAUAGAAAAAUGGAUGAUGCCAUCACUCUUUGUUUGGCACAUGUCCUAAGACAAUAGAUGAAUCUUACAUUCUAACAAAUAAUGCACAAUGUCACUUCCAGCAUGACUGUUACUCAAUGUCAAUGAGUGAAAUGGUAAAAAUGCUAAAAAAUUUGCUCCUACUUGUGUACAUAUCUAUAUUUCAUUUUGCUUAACAAGCACAUCUGUAUGUAUGAAAUCUAAUAUGUUAAAAUGUAUGUAUGUAUGUACAUACGUAAUCUAAUGCAUCAUCAUCGCAUCAAUAAUGUGUAAGUAAAUGCAGCUUGGAAAAUAUGGUCUUAAAAUUAUUGAGGAAUGACAUAACUCAUUUAAACGAUGACAUAUGUCUGUCUGUUCUCAUCGCAAGUGUGGUGGCGUUAUCAGCUCAUAAAUACUAAAGUAAAAACUUCUUUGCUUCUAAUAUUUAGCUACUCAGUUAUUUUUCGCAUUUUCAGAGAACAAGUUGCUUGUGCGAAAUGUGUACAUAUGUACGCUGUUUUUCCAAAUAUUUAGAGGAUUCGUUCCACCUAUUUUUACAUCACAAAUAAAGAUCGGAACAAAAUUUUUAUAAAAUGGGUGGAUUUCGUGACUUCCUCUUCCGCGGAAACCUCAUCCAACUCGCCGUAGCUGUCGUUAUUGGUACAGCAUUUACAAAUGUGAUCACCGCUAUUACGACGGGAAUGGUGACGCCGUUACUGGGAAUAUUUGGGGGUCAACCGAACUUCAACGAGCUGUAUUUCUCCUUGAACGGAUCCCAAUUCAAGUACGGAUCCGUUAUCGACUCGUUGAUCACGUUCUUCAUCACGGCCGUCGUUCUGUAUUACGUCGUCGUCCUCCCGUCCGACUGGGUGAUAAAAAGGUUGGAAGAAAACGCAGCCGAUGCGCAGCGCGAGUGUAGCGAGUGCUGGUCUAAAAUUGAUAAGAGAGCGACGCGCUGUGCAUUUUGUACGGCGAGUGUCAUUCCACAGGUCAAGUGGGGGACGGAAGUUUCGUUGUGAGAUGAUCUGUAUGUACAUAUGUAAAUACAUACAUAAGUGAUUGGUUUAAAUUUAAUAAAAUACAAUUUUAUACGGAAAAUGUGUAUGAAACUAUUCGUA